UGUGGGAGCGAGCCUGCUCGCGAUGACGACGUGUCAGUCAACAUUGAUGUUGAAUGUGAGUCCGCUAUCGCGAGCAGGCUCGCUCCCACG
rnacentral:misc_RNA from 1 species